UUUAAAUGCAAUUGUGGGUUUAUUGUCCAACGUUUGACCGUUCAUCUUAUUUGAAUUUUUUUAUGAUUAGUAUCUAUAAUUUUAUUAGAUGAUAAAACAUGAAUAGUAACUUAUUUUUUUAAAAAAAAAUUUAAAUAAGACAAAUGAUCAAAUAUUGGACAUAAAAACCCACAACUAUACUUAAA
rfam:Oryza meridionalis cultivar OR44 (W2112) chromosome 11, whole genome shotgun sequence.